AGUGAACGCUGGCGGUAGGCCUAACACAUGCAAGUCGAACGGCAGCACAGUAAGAGCUUGCUCUUACGGGUGGCGAGUGGCGGACGGGUGAGGAAUACAUCGGAAUCUACUUUUUCGUGGGGGAUAACGUAGGGAAACGUACGCUAAUACCGCAUACGACCUACGGGUGAAAGCAGGGGAUCUUCGGACCUUGCGCGAUUGAAUGAGCCGAUGUCGGAUUCGCUAGUUGGCGGGGUAAAGGCCCAGCAAGGCGACGCUCCGUAGCUGGUAUGAGAGGAUGAUUAGCCACACUGGAACUGAGACACGGUCCAGACUCCUACGGGAGGCAGCAGUGGGGAAUAUUGGACAAUGGGCGCAAGCCUGAUCCAGCCAUACCGCGUGGGUGAAGAAGGCCUUCGGGUUGUAAAGCCCUUUUGUUGGGAAAGUAGAGCAGCAGGUUAAUACCCCGCUGUUCUGACGGUACCCAAAGAAUAAGCACCGGCUAACUUCGUG
rnacentral:rRNA from 1 species